ACUCGAGUGGCGAACGGGUGAGUAACACGUGGGUGAUCUGCCCUGCACUUCGGGAUAAGCUUGGGAAACUGGGUCUAAUACCGGAUAGGAGCCAUCUUUAGUGUGGUGGUUGGAAAGUUUUUCGGUGUAGGAUGAGCUCGCGGCCUAUCAGCUUGUUGGUGGGUAAUGGCCUACCAAGGCGGCGACGGGUAGCCGGCCUGAGAGGGUGUACGGCCACAUUGGGACUGAGAUACGGCCCAG
rnacentral:rRNA from 1 species